GACGAACGCUGGCGGCGUGCUUAACACAUGCAAGUCGAACGAUGAAACCUAGCUUGCUAGGUCGAUUAGUGGCGAACGGGUGAGUAACACGUGACUAACCUGCCCCUUUCUCUGGGACAACGCUCCGAAAGGAGUGCUAAUACCGGAUACUCACACCGAGGCACAUGCCUUGGUGAGGAAAGUUUUUCGGAAAGGGAUGGAGUCGCGGCCUAUCAGCUUGUUGGUGAGGUAACGGCUCACCAAGGCGACGACGGGUAGCCGGCCUGAGAGGGGGACCGGCCACACUGGGACUGAGACACGGCCCAGACUCCUACGGGAGGCAGCAGUGGGGAAUAUUGCACAAUGGGCGCAAGCCUGAUGCAGCGACGCCGCGUGAGGGAUGAAGGUCUUCGGAUUGUAAACCUCUUUCAGUAGGGACGAAGCGAAAGUGACGGUACCUAAAGAAGAAGCACCGGCUAACUACGUGCCAGCCGCCGCCGUAA
rnacentral:rRNA from 1 species